rnacentral:tRNA from 1 species
GCCGGCGUAGCUCAGUUGGUAAGAGCGUAGGAUUCAUAACCCUAAGGUCGGUGGUUCAAUUCCACCCGCCGGCA